GACCGCGGAGCUUAGUUGGCAGAGCAUUGGGCUAGUAUUCCAAAGGUCGUAGGUUCCCAUCGUGGUCGAUUCCCACCGUGGUCA